AGCGAACGCUGGCGGCAGGCCUAACACAUGCAAGUCGAGCGCCCAGCAAUGGUAGCGGCAGACGGGUGAGUAACGCGUGGGGAUGUGCCCAAUGGUGCGGAAUAACCCAGGGAAACUUGGAUUAAUACCGCAUGUGCCCUUCGGGGGAAAGAUUUAUCGCCAUUGGAUCAACCCGCGUCUGAUUAGCUAGUUGGUGAGGUAAAGGCUCACCAAGGCGACGAUCAGUAGCUGGUCUGAGAGGAUGAUCAGCCACACUGGGACUGAGACACGGCCCAGAAUCCUACGGGAGGCAGCAGUGGGGAAUAUUGGACAAUGGGCGCAAGCCUGAUCCAGCCAUGCCGCGUGAGUGAUGAAGGCCUUAGGGUUGUAAAGCUCUUUCGCCGGUGAAGAUAAUGACGGUAACCGGAGAAGAAGCCCCGGCUAACUUCGUGCCAGCCGCCGCCGUAA
rnacentral:rRNA from 1 species